AGAGAAUUCUGGUAGAAGCUGUUGAAA
rnacentral:piRNA from 1 species